AGGAUUCCCCUAGUAACUGCGAGUGAAGCGGGAAAAGCUCAAAUUUAAAAUCUGGCGGUCUUUUGCCGUCCGAGUUGUAAUCUAGAGAAGUAAUGCCCGUGCUGGACCGUGUAUAAGUCUCCUGGGAUGGGGCGUCAUAGAGGGUGAGAAUCCCGUCUUUGACACGGACUACCAGUGCAUUGUGGUAUGCUCUCAAAGAGUCGAGUUGUUUGGGAAUGCAGCUCAAAAUGGGUGGUAAAUUCCAUCUAAAGCUAAAUAUUGGCGAGAGACCGAUAGCGAACAAGUACCGUGAGGGAAAGAUGAAAAGAACUUUGGAAAGAGAGUUAAACAGUACGUGAAAUUGCUGAAAGGGAAACGCUUGAAGUCAGUCGCGUUGGCCAGGGAUCAGCCUUGCUUUUGCAUGGUGUAUUUUCUGGUUAACGGGUCAGCAUCAAUUUUGACCACUGGAAAAGGGCCUGGGGAAUGUGGCAGCUUAGGCUGUGUUAUAGCCCCUGGUCGCAUACRGUGGUUGGGAUUGAGGAACUCAGCACGCCGCAAGGCCGGGUUUCGACCACGUUCGUGCUUAGGAUGCUGGCAUAAUGGCUUUAAGCGACCCGUCUUGAAACACGGACCAAGGAGUCUAACAUGCCUGCGAGUAUUUGGGUGGAAAACCCGAGUGCGCAAUGAAAGUGAAAGUUGAGAUCCCUGUCGUGGGGAGCAUCGACGCCCGGACCAGAACUUUUGGGACGGAUCCGCGGUGGAGCAUGUAUGUUGGGACCCGAAAGAUGGUGAACUAUGCCUGAAUAGGGUGAAGCCAGAGGAAACUCUGGUGGAGGCUCGUAGCGAUUCUGACGUGCAAAUCGAUCGUCAAAUUUGGGUAUAGGGGCGAAA
rnacentral:rRNA from 1 species